AUGUAUGUGCUGUGCACACUGGUGUUGCUGUCUCUCCACAACCUGUUUAAGAGACCCAAGGUCCAGGAACCCUCUGAACCCAAGGCUAUUGAGGGUCCCGAGCAGCAAAGACCAGAUGUAGCCAAACUGGGACGCAAGAAGAGGAACAAGCACCACUUGCGUGAAGGUUCUGGACCACUAGAGACCUCAAGAGUGUCUAGACAGCAUGACUUUGAAAGAUGCUUGGAUGGACCCAGCAGAGCAAGUAAAAGAAGAUCCGUUCACCUGGAUAAUGUGCAUGAGAGGAGGAAGAGAGCACAGCCGGUCCAGCGGUGUGGUCUACUCGGCCCUGCGGUCAUGUACGGCACACGAAAGACCUGGGACGUUGGCCACACCCCCUGCCUGCAGGAGCUCUGGAACAAAGACCUCUCAUUGGAUGUUUCAGCAAGUUCCCUGGAUAUCCUGAUGAGUGAUGGUGAGGAGGAGAGCUCCUUCCUCUCGUUGCCCAACUCUGUCCUUCAGCGCCACUGUUUGACCUCUGACCUCUCUGAAACGGCCACCUCAGAACAGCAGCAGCUGCUCAUACAGAAGGUUACUUUGUCCUGUUCCUGGACGUCUGCCUACACACUGCAAGAGAGAGUUUGUGAGUUCCAGGCACGUUUGCGCAGCGAAGACGCCGCAAAAAGACACCUGCUACAGCGACUGCAGACACACGACCACCAGCUCAACCAAGACAACCACCAGAACGAGGAACAGUUGUCCAUUAAUCAAGAACCUCAAGAGCAGCUCAGACUGCAGGACGGCCAGCUCAUCCAAGCUGUGUCACCUACAGGUGUGAGGAGCUCUAGUGUUUUGAGACAGAGGCCUGUGGAUUUUCCCAGUGUUGUACAAGUGAGUAAAGUUCACUCACAGGAGCAACUGCAAAAAGACGAGGGAGAAAAACUCGCUCUCAUUACAGGGCUGCACACACAGGUCAAGGAGCUGGAGGAGAAACUAGUGGAUCAGACGCAGGAGGUGGAGAGACUGCGCUCUGAGCUGUUUUAUGGUAUUUUGGAUCAAGUAAAUGCGACCUUGGGGGCGACAGAUCUGGAGAAACAGCUCGAGGUGCUGGAGAGUGAGAACCAGCGGCUCAAACAAGAGCUGAGGGCCAGUCAGACCCAGACCACCUGCUCUACUGGCCACUGCCCACACAGCCAAGAUGUGGAGGCCCUGCGCGGAGAGCUGUGUCAUAAAGACGAGGAGUGCCGCGAGCGGGAGCGGCGACUGGCUGCGCUGGAGCAGCAUGUGCAGGAGAGGACGGGUGUAGUAGUUCAGCUGCAGCAGCAGCUGGAGGAGGCGGCGCAGCGCAGACAGGAGCUCCAGCAGCAGCUGGAAGAGGCGUCACGUCUCAGGAGCCAGAGUGAGGAGCAGCUGACCUCACGGCUUCGUGAUGCUGAGGAGGCUCUGUCUCGCCAGGCUGCUCUGACACCACAGGUCAAGUAUGUGACCAAGACGGUUGAAGUGGAGUCGGCCCAGUGUAAGCAGGCUUUAAUGGAGGCUCAGGGCCGUAAUCAGGCGCUGCAGGAGCAGCUGAGUGUUCAGAGGCAGCUCCUCAGAGAGCUGGAGCAGCAGCUGCACGAGUCCCAGAGAACCAGCAGUCAGCUCCGCCAGCAGAUCCUGGUGUAUGAGAGUGAGAUGGAGAGAGCUCAGGGUCAGCUGGAGGCAGAGAUGCAGAGUCUGGAGGAGGAGAAGAACAGAGUGAUCGAGGAAGCUUUCAUCAGAGCAGAGAGCGAGAUGAAGGCCGUCCACGAGAACCUAGCAGGUGUGCGGAUGAACCUCCUGACACUGCAGCCGGCCCUGAGAACCCUCACCUGUGAUUACAACUGUCUGAAGAGACAGGUGCAGGACUUCCCUUACAUGCUGGAGAAAGCCAUCACUGAGGCGAAGCAGGAGAUCUGUCAGGUGAUUGGAGAGGUGAGCAGUGCAAACCAAGAGCUGCUGCGCAAAUACAAGCGGGAGAUGAACCUGAGGAAGAAAUGCCACAAUGAACUGGUGCGCCUCAAAGGAAACAUUCGUGUGUUGUGCCGAGUACGUCCCGUAUGUGCUGGAGAAACAGAUGCUGCUGACACCAAAAACAUAGUGACCUUUGAUCCUGAUGAUGAUGCUGUUCUCUACUUGUCUAAUAAGGGCAAGCUCAUGACCUUUGAACUUGACAAAGUCUUUCCCACUCAGGCCACUCAGGAGGAGGUGUUCCAGGAAGUGCAGUCUCUGGUCACUUCCUGUAUUGAUGGCUUUAACGUAUGCAUCUUUGCCUAUGGGCAGACUGGCUCUGGAAAGACCUAUACUAUGGAGGGUGUCCCUGAAGACCCUGGCAUUAACCAGCGUGCACUGCGGCUGCUCUUCUCUGAAGUGUCGGAGAAAAAGCCUGACUGGGACUACAAGAUCACCGUCAGCAUGGUGGAAAUCUACAAUGAGACCCUUCGGAACCUGUUGGGCGACAAUCCCAAUGAGAAGCUGGAUAUAAAGAUGUGUCCAGACGGCAGUGGACAGCUGUACGUGCCAGGACUCACAGAGUUCACCGUGGAGAGCGUGGAGGACAUUAACAAGGUGUUUGACCUGGGUCACAUGAACAGGGCGACAGCGUGCACUAAUCUAAACGAGCACAGCUCUCGCUCUCAUGCCCUCCUUAUUGUCACAGUGGCGGGUUUCAACUCUUCCACGGGCCACCGCACCUCAGGUAAGCUCAAUCUGGUGGAUCUGGCUGGUUCCGAGCGGAUUGCCAAAUCUGGCGCCGAGGGCAGCCGUCUGCGCGAGGCUCAGUGUAUCAACAAAUCACUGUCUGCGCUGGGUGACGUCAUCAAUGCCCUGCGCUCCAAACACUCGCACGUGCCCUUCAGGAACUCCCGCCUCACGUACCUGCUGCAGGACUCGCUCAGCAGAGACAGCAAGACCCUCAUGAUGGUGCAGGUGUCUCCUCUAGAGAGUAACGUCAGUGAGUCGGUUUGCUCUCUGAAGUUCGCUCAGCGUGUUCGGACUGUUGAGAUCGGGCCCUCGUCUUCCUCACGCCGCCAUGCGGAGAACUCCUCAACAUCCUCCUCUCCAACUCAUGACAGCCUGGACUCUCCUCCCGUGACCCCUGUGCCGCUCCCCAUCUCAAGGGCCAGCAGCGCAGGUUCAACCCUCUCCUCCAACUCUAAAACCCCCACAACCCGGCGGAGGUCCCACAGUCAGCUGUCCACAGGUGAGCAGACAGAGAAACAACCAACGGUCACAUGA
rnacentral:lncRNA from 1 species